UCGGAGUUUACCCCGCCCCCCCCCCGCCUCCUGGCUAAAGCGUGAGGCUGCGAGCGGUCUCUCUCUUGGCUGCUUCUCUUGCCUGCUUCUCUUGGCUCCGACGACCUGUAAUUAUGGGGCAGGAGCCGCGGACGCUGCCGCCCUCUCCCAACUGGUACUGCGCCCGCUGCAGCGAUGCCGUGCCCGGGGGCCUCUUUGGCUUCGCCGCGCGGACCUCCGUCUUCCUUGUCCGCGUGGGCCCGGACGCAGGCGAGAGUCCUGGGACACCUCCGUUUCGAGUCAUAGGAGAGUUGGUGGGACACACCGAGAGGGUCUCUGGCUUCACAUUUUCUCAUCACCCUGGUCAGUACAACCUGUGUGCCACCAGCUCCGACGAUGGGACUGUUAAAAUAUGGGACGUAGAGACAAAAACAGUUGUGACAGAACAUGCACUCCAUCAGCAUACGAUAUCAACAUUACAUUGGUCUCCUCGAGUAAAGGACUUAAUAGUAUCUGGGGAUGAAAAAGGGGUAGUUUUCUGUUACUGGCUUAACAGAAAUGACAGCCAGCACCUCUUUAUAGAACCCAGGACAAUUUUCUGUCUUACUUGUUCACCUCAUCAUGAAGAUUUAGUAGCCAUUGGGUACAAAGAUGGCAUAGUGGUUAUAAUUGACAUCAGUAAGAAAGGAGAAGUUAUUCAUAGGCUUCGAGGCCAUGAUGAUGAAAUCCACUCCAUAGCCUGGUGUCCCCUGCCUGGUGAAGAUUGUUUAUCUAUAAACCAAGAGGAAACAUCAGAAGACCCUGAAAUUACCAACGGGAAUGCUUUGGCACAAGUUCCAGUAACAAUUGGCUGCUACUUAGCCACUGGAAGCAAAGAUCAAACUGUUAGAAUCUGGAGCUGUUCGAGAGGCCGAGGGGUGAUGAUUUUGAAAUUGCCCUUUCUGAAGAGAAGAGGAGGGGGUAUAGACCCAACUGUUAAAGAGCGCCUUUGGCUGACACUCCAUUGGCCCAGCAAUCAGCCGUCACAGCUGGUAUCUAGCUGUUUUGGAGGUGAACUGUUGCAAUGGGAUCUCACUCAGUCUUGGAGACGGAAAUACACCCUCUUUAGUGCUUCAUCAGAAGGGCAAAAUCAUUCAAGAAUUGUGUUUAAUUUAUGUCCUCUACAAACAGAGGAUGACAAACAGCUGCUACUUUCUACAUCAAUGGAUAGAGAUGUAAAAUGUUGGGACAUGGCCACCCUGGAUUGCUGCUGGACCCUGCCUUCCCUUGGUGGGUUUGCAUACAGCCUGGCUUUCUCUCCUGUGGACAUAGGCUCUUUGGCCAUAGGUGUUGGGGAUGGCAUGAUCCGUGUAUGGAAUACACUCUCCAUAAAGAACAACUAUGAUGUGAAAAAUUUUUGGCAAGGUGUCAAGUCCAAGGUUACAGCGCUCUGCUGGCACCCAACCAAGGAAGGUUGCUUAGCUUUUGGAACUGACGAUGGAAAAGUAGGAUUGUAUGACACUUACUCCAACAAGCCUCCACAGAUUUCUAGCACAUAUCAUAAGAAGACUGUUUAUACUUUAGCGUGGGGGCCACCAGUACCCCCGAUGUCACUUGGAGGAGAAGGAGACAGACCUUCCCUUGCUUUAUACAGCUGUGGAGGAGAAGGGAUUGUCUUACAGCAUAACCCUUGGAAGCUUAGUGGAGAGGCCUUUGACAUCAACAAACUCAUCAGAGACAGCAAUUCAAUCAAAUAUAAAUUGCCUGUACACACAGAGAUCAGUUGGAAAGCAGAUGGCAAAAUCAUGGCUCUUGGCAAUGAAGAUGGAACAAUAGAAAUAUUUCAGGUUCCCAACUUGAAACUGAUCUGUACUAUCCAACAGCAUCACAAGCUUGUGAAUACCAUUAGCUGGCAUCAUGAGCAUGGCAGCCAGCCAGAGCUGAGCUAUCUGAUGGCCUCUGGCUCCAACAAUGCAGUCAUUUAUGUGCACAACCUGAAGACUGUCAUAGAGAGCAGCCCUGAGUCUCCAGUGACCAUUACAGAGCCCUAUCGGACUCUCUCGGGGCAUACAGCCAAGAUCACCAGUGUGGCAUGGAGCCCACAUCAUGAUGGAAGGCUGGUAUCUGCUUCCUAUGAUGGUACAGCCCAGGUGUGGGAUACUCUCCGGGAAGAACCCCUGUGUAAUUUCCGAGGACAUCGAGGUCGACUGCUUUGUGUGGCGUGGUCUCCUUUGAACCCAGACUGCAUCUAUUCAGGGGCAGAUGACUUUUGUGUGUACAAGUGGCUCACUUCCAUGCAAGAUCAUUCCCGGCCUCCUCAAGGCAAAAAAAGUAUUGAAUUAGAGAAAAAACGACUCUCUCAACCUAAGCCAAAGCCGAAAAAGAAGAAAAAGCCCACCUUGAGAACUCCUGUAAAGCUGGAAUCGAUAGAUGGGAAUGAAGAAGAAAGCAUGAAGGAGAACUCAGGACCUGUUGAGAAUGGUGUGUCAGACCAAGAAGGGGAGGAGGAAGCACGGGAGCCAGAAUUACCCUGUGGCCUGGCUCCAGCGGUUUCUAGGGAACCAGUUAUCUGCACUCCAAUUUCCUCAAGCUUUGAAAAGUCAAAAGUCACCAUUAAUAACAAAGUCAUUUUCCUGAAAAAGGAGCCACCUAAAGAGAAGCCAGAAACCUUAGUCAAGAAGAGAAAAGCUCGUUCCACGCUUCCCCUGAGUACAAGCCUGGACCACAGAUCCAAAGAGGAGCUUCAUCAGGACUGUUUGGUAUUAGCAAUGGCAAAGCACUCCAAAGAGCUGAAUGAAGAUGUAUCUGCUGAUCUUGAGGAAAGAUUUCAUCUGGGGCUUUUCACAGACAGGGCUACCCUGUACAAAAUGAUUGAUAUUGAAGGAAAAGGUCACUUAGAAAAUGGCCACCCUGAGUUAUUUCACCAGCUUAUGCUUUGGAAAGGAGAUCUCAAAGGUGUUCUCCAGACUGCAGCAGAAAGAGGGGAGCUGACAGACAACCUUGUGGCUAUGGCACCAGCGGCUGGCUACCACGUGUGGCUCUGGGCUGUGGAAGCUUUUGCCAAACAGCUGUGUUUUCAGGAUCAGUAUGUCAAGGCCGCUUCUCACCUACUUUCCAUCCACAAAGUGUAUGAAGCUGUGGCGCUGCUGAAGUCAAACCAUUUUUACAGGGAAGCUAUUGCAGUUGCCAAGGCCCGGCUGCGUCCAGAGGACCCAGUCCUGAAGGACUUGUACCUAAGCUGGGGAACCGUCCUAGAAAGAGAUGGCCAUUAUGCCAUAGCAGCCAAAUGCUACUUAGGGGCCACUUCUGCUUAUGAUGCAGCCAAAGUUUUGGCCAAAAAGGGGGAUGCAGCAUCACUUAGAACAGCUGCAGAGUUGGCUGGCAUCGUAGGAGAGGAUGAGUUGUCUGCUUCCCUGGCUCUCAGAUGUGCCCAAGAGCUGCUUCUGGCCAACAACUGGGUGGGAGCCCAGGAAGCCCUGCAGCUGCAUGCAAGUCUACAGGGUCAGAGAUUGGUGUUUUGCCUUCUGGAGCUACUAUUCAGGCAUCUAGAAGAAAAGCAGCUUUCAGAAGGCAAAAGUUCCUCCUCUUAUCACACUUGGACCAUAGGCACCGAAGGGCCUUUCAUGGAGAGGGUGACUGCAGUGUGGAAGAGCAUCUUCAGCCUUGACACCCCUGAGCAGUAUCAGGAAGCCUUUCAGAAGCUGCAGAACAUCAAGUACCCAUCUGCUACAAAUAAUACACCCUCCAAACAGCUCCUGCUUCAUAUUUGCCAUGACUUGACCCUGGCAGUGCUGAGCCAGCAGAUGGCCUCCUGGGACGAGGCUGUGCAGGCGUUCCUUCGGGCAGUGGUCCGGAGCUAUGACUCAGGGAGCUUCACCAUCAUGCAGGAAGUGUACUCAGCUUUUCUCCCUGACGGCUGUGACCACCUAAAAGACAAAUUGGUUGACCAUCAAUCCCCUGCCAUACCAGCUUUCAAAAGUUUGGAGGCCUUUUUUCUUUAUGGGCGUCUGUAUGAAUUCUGGUGGUCUCUCUCCAGGCCUUGCCCAAAUUCCAGUGUCUGGGUAAGGCCUGGUCACAGCACAUUCUCUGUUGAGCCAAGCCAGCAGUUAGACACUAUCAGCACUGAAGAAACUGACCCUGAAACUUCUCAGCCAGAGCCAAGCAGGCCUUCAGAACUAGACUUGAGACUCACAAAAGAAGGUGAGCGAAUACUGAGCACAUUUAAGGCGCUCCUUUCAGAAAAGCAUGCCAGUCUCCAAAACUCACAGAGAACUGUUGCUGAAGUCCAAGAGACCUUGGCAGAAAUGAUCCGCCAACACCAGAAGAGUCAACUCUGUAAAUCCACAGCAAAUGGUCCUGAUAAGAGUGAACCGGACCUAGAAGCAGAGCCUCUCUCCAGUUCUCAGAGCCAGUGUAAAGAAGAAAAAAACGAGCCACUUUCUCUGCCUGAAUUAACCAAAAGGCUUACAGAGGCCAAUCAGAGAAUGGCGAAAUUUCCCGAGAGUGUUAAGGCCUGGCCCUUCCCGGAUGUGCUGGAGUGCUGCCUCAUCUUCCUUCUCAUCAGGUUCCACUUUCCUGACUGUCUGACCCAGGAAAUGCAGCAGCAGGCCCAAGAGCUCCUUCAGAAAUACGGCAACACUAAAACUUACCAAAGGCACUGCCAGACCUUCUGCACAUGAAUUUUCACAACCUUGAAGAAACUGCCAAAUUGAAAAUGUUUGACACCUUUCACUUCUGCAGUUACACCUCACCAGGCAUUCACUCUGGUCCCUGAUGUUUUUGCAGUAAUCCAAAAGAUUACAAAUGAGGGCUAAGUUUGAAUUAACUCUACCUAACGAUAGACACAGUGGAUCUGACUUUAGAUUCAAUUGUAGUCUCCUCCUGGAGGGAAGAUCAUGAAAAGCUAGCAGUAGUUCCUCAGAACAAAUACCUGCAGAGUAUUGGUCAUCUCUAAAGCCUUAUGCAGGUUUCACCCAAAGAGGAGAAGCUUCUCUCAUCACCCAAAGUGUUAACUUGCUUAAAACACAAGCUACCUUUAUAAAUACUUCAUCUGAUCAGAAACAUGUCAUGCUUGAGAUGGAGUUGCUCCAUUUUAUGACUUUUUAAAAUUGUUUUUAUAAUAUUUAAUGUGAAAGAAGAGAACCUUCCCCCUCUACUCUUCCAUAGAUUGAAGUUUGAAUAUGAAAUAGGCCUUAACCUUCAUGUUGACUCUCCUGUCUGAAUUUUAGGUUUGCUGGAAGGAAAAGCAGGGAAAAUAGAGAAGUGGGAGACGAAAAUGGAGAAGUGGGAGAAUCCAGAUGACCAGCUGAAAUCACAUUACUGAAAGUACAAUAGACAUGACCCAAAAAUCUGAUCUUACUAGUUUCCUUCAGGAUCAAAUCCAGGAUAUUAUACAAAAAUUUCAAAUGAUUUCAGAUGAUGCAUAUGUGACAGCAAACCUCAGUGGCACAAAGGAACACAUAGACUUAAAGAUGCUUCAGUGGUCAACAAUCAUUCUGGAGUUCUCAUGAAUGAAGGGUAGACAGAUUCAGUAAAUUGUUUGCUUUUAUGUUUCAUUAUCUGGUCUUCAAAUUUCAGCAUUGAGCAAUUCAUUUCCAUAUAGUAACAAGUAAAGAAAGACUAUGAAAGUGUGAGGAAAGCAAAUGUCUUCGAGACGGGUCAGAAAAGGAAAGGAAGACGGUAUCUGUGAACACCAUUUUGUUCCAUUUUCCCUGGAAGCCCUCAGCUCAGCUGAGAAUCAGAACAAGAAUCUUCAUUACCAGAGUAGCAACGAAUUUUUUUAAAAAAGAAUGACAACAGGUUCAUGGGGCUCGAGUGAAGAAUGCCUGCCUUAGGAUGACAGAAGCAGAGGGUUCCCUUCAUGGCCAGGUUAAAGAUUGUUACCACACAAGUAUCUGUGAGAUCGGCUGUUAUACCCUGUCCACCACCACACUGGCAUCUAGUACUCAAUAAUGCAUGCUGAACACACAACAAUAAAGCAAAGUCAGCUUUU